AGAGGGGGCAAGCGUUGCUCGGAAUUACUGGGCGUAAAGGGCGCGUAGGCGGGAUGGCAAGUCGGUCGUGAAAUCCCUCGGCUCAACCGAGGAACGUCGAUCGAUACUGCCGUUCUUGAGGAUUGCAGAGGAGACUGGAAUUCCCGGUGUAGCGGUGAAAUGUGUAGAGAUCGGGAGGAACACCGGUGGCGAAGGCGGGUCUCUGGGCAAUUCCUGACGCUGAGGCGCGAAAGCGUGGGGAGCAAACGGGAUUAGAUACCCCGGCAGUCCACGCUGUAAACGAUGAGCACUAGGUGUGGGGGGGUUCAGUCCCUUCCGUGCCGCAGCUAACGCAUUAAGUGCUCCGCCUGGGGAGUACGGCCGCAAGGUUG
rnacentral:rRNA from 1 species